CAAGUCGAACGAGAAAGGGAGCAAUCCUGAGUAAAGUGGCGUACUGGUGAGUAACACGUGGAUAUCUACCUCUUGGUGGGGAAUAACCUGGGGAAACCUGGGCUAAUACCGCAUAAGUUCGUGAGAAGAAAGGCGCAAGUCGCCGAGAGAGGAGUCCGCGGUCGAUUAGGUAGUUGGCGGGGUAAGAGCCCACCAAGCCAAAGAUCGAUAGCCGGCCUGAGAGGGCACACGGCCACACUGGCACUGAAACACGGGCCAGACUCCUACGGGAGGCAGCAGUGGGGAAUCUUGCACAAUGGGGGAAACCCUGAUGCAGCGACGCCGCGUGAGCGAUGAAGCCCUUCGGGGUGUAAAGCUCUUUCGGCAGGAACGAUAAUGACGGUACCUGCAGAAGAAGCUGCGGCUAACUACGUGCCAGCAGCCGCGGUAAUACGUAGGCAGCAAGCGUUGUUCGGAAUUACUGGGCGUAAAGAGUGUGUAGGUGGUGUCGUAAGUUUGGUGUGAAAUCUCCCGGCUUAACUGGGAGGGUGCGCCGAAGACUGCGAUGCUGGAGCAUGGGAGAGGAAAGCGGAAUUCCUGGUGUAGCGGUGAAAUGCGUAGAUAUCAGGAGGAACACCUGCGGUGUAGACGGCUUUCUGGACCAUUACUGACACUGAGACACGAAAGCGUGGGUAGCAAACAGGAUUAGAUACCCUGGUAGUCCACGCCCUAAACGAUGCAUACUUGGUGUGAGCCAUUCAGUUGGUUCGUGCCGGAGCUAACGCGUUAAGUAUGCCGCCUGGGGGAGUACGGUCGCAAGGCUGAAA
rnacentral:rRNA from 1 species